UACGGGGGGGCAAGCGUUGUUCGGAAUUACUGGGCGUAAAGGGCUCGUAGGUGGCCAACUAAGUCGGACGUGAAAUCCCUCAGCUUAACUGGGGAACUGCGUCCGAUACUGGAUGGCUUGAGUUCGGGAGAGGGAUGCGGAAUUCCAGGUGUAGCGGUGAAAUGCGUAGAUAUCUGGAGGAACACCGGUGGCGAAGGCGGCAUCCUGGACCGAUACUGACGCUGAGGAGCGAAAGCCAGGGGAGCAAACGGG
rnacentral:rRNA from 1 species